UACGUAGGGGGCAAGCGUUGUCCGGAUUUAUUGGGCGUAAAGAGCGUGUAGGCGGUUCGGUAGGUCCGUUGUGAAAACUCGAGGCUCAACCUCGAGACGCCGAUGGAAACCCCCGAACUAGAGUCCGGAAGAGGAGAAUGGAAUUCCUGGUGUAGCGGUGAAAUGCGCAGAUAUCAGGAAGAACACCCGUGGCUAAGGCGGUUCUCUAGUACGGUACUGACGCUGAGACGCGAAAGCGUGGGGAGCGAACAGG
rnacentral:rRNA from 1 species